GAUGAACGCUGGCGGCGUGCCUAAUACAUGCCAGUCGAACGAAACUUCUUUAUCACCGAGUGCUUGCACUCACCGAUAAAGAGUUGAGUGGCGAACGGGUGAGUAACACGUGGGCAACCUGCCCAAAAGAGGGGGAUAACACUUGGAAACAGGUGCUAAUACCGCAUAACCAUAGUUACCGCAUGGUAACUAUGUAAAAGGUGGCUAUACUACCGCUUUUGUAUGGGCCCGCGGCGCAUUAGCUAGUUGGUAGGGUAAAGGCUUACCAAGGCAAUGAUGCGUAGCCGAAUUGAGAGGUUGAUCGGCCACAUUGGGACUGAGACACGGCCCAAACUCCUACGGGAGGCAGCAGUAGGGAAUCUUCCACAAUGGGCGAAAGCCUGAUGGAGCAACGCCGCGUGGGUGAAGAAGGUCUUCGGAUCGUAAAACCCUGUUGUUAGAGAAGAAAGUGCGUGAGAGUAACUGUUCACGUUUCGACGGUAUCUAACCAGAAAGCCACGGCUAACUACGUG
rnacentral:rRNA from 1 species